GACGGUAUUCCUCUGGACAAAGUUUCCACUUCUAUGACCAUCAACGCUCCUGCAUCCGUACUGCUCUGCAUGCCCGGGCCUUGUACACACCGCCCGUCAAGCCAUGAAAGCCGGGGGUGCCUGAAGUUCGUGACCGCGAGGAGCGACCUAGGGCAAAACUGGUAAUUGGGGCUAAGUCGUAACAAGGUAGCCGUACCGGAAGGUGUGGCUGGAACACCUCCUUU
rnacentral:rRNA from 1 species